rnacentral:rRNA from 1 species
CUGGUGUCAGCCGCCGCGGUAAUACCAGCUCCUCGAGUGGUUGGGAUGAUUAUUGGGUCUAAAGCGUCCGUAGCCUGCCGGAAAAGUUCUCCGUUAAACCCAACGAUUCAAUCGUUGGACUGCGGGGAAUACUCUUCGGCUUGGGGGCGGGGGAAGUCGGCGGUAGUCCAAGGGUAGGGGUGAAAUCCUAUAAUCCUUGGAGGACCACCAGUGGCGAAGGCGGCCGACCAAAACGCGCCCGACGGUGAGGGACGAAAGCUGGGGGAGCGAACGGGAUUAGAUACCCCGGUAGUCCCAGCUGUAAACGAUGUGGACUAGGUGUUGGGAUGGGUAAGACCUAUCUCAGUGCCGCAGGGAAGCCGGUAAGUCCACCACCUGGGAAGUACGGCCGCAAGGUUGAAACUUAAAGGAAUUGGCGGGGGAGCACCACAAGGGGUGAAGCUUGCGGUUUAAUUGGAGUCAACCCCGGGAACCUUACCAGGAGCGACAGUUGGAUGAAGGUCAGAUUAAAGGUCUUACCGGACUAUCU